rnacentral:rRNA from 1 species
CAGCAGCCGCGGGAAUACGUAGGGUGCGAGCGUUGUUCCGAAUUACUGGGCGUAAAGCGCACGUAGGCGGAUAUUUAAGUCAGGGGUGAAAUCCCGCAGCUCAACUGCGGAACUGCCUUUGAUACUGGGUAUCUUGAGUAUGGAAGAGGUUAGUGGAAUUGCGAGUGUAGAGGUGAAAUUCGUAGAUAUUCGCAGGAACACCAGUGGCGAAGGCGGCUAACUGGUCCAUAACUGACGCUGAGGUGCGAAAGCGUGGGGAGCAAACAGGAUUAGAUACCCCCGUAGUCCCUGUCUCUUAUAC